AUUUAUACAUAUAUAUAUAUUUUUUAAGUAACCGCCUUGAACCUUCAGAAAACACCACAAAGGGAAAGGUAAGAUGCAAAUCCAAGGGACUCCUGGAAAGAAAGCUGCGCGGCCUGAAGCUAGCUGGAUUCUUGGGGAAAUCCACCAAGGUUACUCACAGCUGAAUUCUUACUUCCAGAAUCCGAGAGAAACACGCAGAGCUUCGGCGGGGCGACCUCACGGACCCACACCCCCAAAGCCCACGUAUCCGAGGGAACAAUCAACGUCCACGAGGAAGAACAAACCAACCAAAAGAGCAAUACACGCUGCCGGGGGCGGGGGGGCGGGGACCUCCAAAGGAACGUGCCAACCAAGCACGCAGGAGCUUGCAGGAGCUCAGCUGACCCAGGGGAGGCUCGGGACGGGAGAUCGCAGCGUGGUGCUGACACCAAACCUGGGCAAACUCCUCUCCGGGAAAACAAAUCCCAGGAAACCGCUGACAAUUGGCGACAAUCCAUUACAGAAACUGAAAUGGAAUCCCACACAAACGCCGGAAAAGCGCUGCCCUGCGGCGCCCACCCGGGGCGGAGCUCGGCCCCGAGGCUCCGGGCGCCCCACAUCGCGCGCGACCGGAAGAGGCCCGUGGCCCCGCCCCUCUCUGCGUCGUGGGCGGGGCGUCGCCGGCCGGGAGCCGCAGUCUCGCGAUAGCGCGAUUUCCCGCGUGCGGCUGCGCGGUGAUGGCCGCCCGGGAUCUUCCGUGGCCGCGGGCCGGGGGUCGGUGGAGCUCGCCCCGGAUGGUCGCCUGCCCUGGAGGCUCCGGUGGGCCGCUUCCGGCGCUCCAGGUUCCCCCGGAAGAGGGGACGUUUCCUGAGCUUCAUUCACCGUAACCGGCCGCCGGCCUCUCCUACACACACGGUGGACGGGGUGUUCGUGGUCCUUCCAGCUCUGCCUCCCGCUGCCCCUGUGCCGGGGCCUGCAGGGACACCACCGUGGAAAUGUCACCUCCCCCCACGUCUCCGACGCUCCCUUACCUGUCCGCUGCGGAAUCUCUCGUCUUCCGACGAAAAUCUUCACAAGCACCUUCCCUCUCAGUACAGCACCUUCCAAAUUCUCGUCUUCUCACGAAAUAUUAGCAACAAUGAACAGGUCGUGAAGGUAAUGCCUUGAGGGCAAGACGCGGACCUAGGCUCUUCCCAGGCGUUAUGUCAUUUAAAAGCCUGGGUGGCUCACAGUUGCUGAAGCACCUGCCUUGGGCUCAGGUCAUAUGAUCUUCGAGUCCUGGGAUCAAGCCCCACAGCAGGCUCUGUGCCCAGCAGCGAGUCUGCUUCUCCUUCUGCCUCUCCCCUCUGUGAUCUCUCUGGCUCUCACUCUCUCUCUCUCAAAUAAGUAAAAUCUUAAAAAAUAAAAUAAAAUAAAAACAUUGCA
rnacentral:lncRNA from 1 species